GAUCACACGGAGCAGAGUGAACAUUUUACUUGUCGUAAUAAUUUCUUCGUCCCACAUCUUUGGCCCUAACCCGACGAAGGAAACGAAAGGCGAAGAACGGGUGUUCUUACUCAGCCAUCGCCGGCCAACGGAGACCUUAAUAGCGGUGAGGCGACAAGGGAUUUCGUUCCAUAUUCGACCGAAGUUAUCUUGCUUAUUACUGAAACCAGAUCAGUUUAACUAAACCAUGGAUCGAACAAAUGGAGAUGACCAUGAAGGAGUCAGUGUCAUGGGUUUUGAAGUUCCCACGUCGCCCGAUUCAAGCUACAACAAUCCCAUACCAAGAAUUGAGGAUGAAGCUCGAGACCCCCUGCUUGUCCCUCCUCAUCUGCAGCAAACCUUGCUGAACUAUCUACCCAGCCAAGAUGAUCCAAAUAGUCUUUCUGUGCCUCAAAAUGUGAUUCUUAACCACCUCUACAUUGAAAAUCGAGAUGUCUCCAGAUCUGCUGCUGCUCUUGGGAUAACCCAUCGUUUCUUAUCUAAAUAUGUUACUGUUGUUCUUUAUAAGCCGGUCCAGAGAAGGUGAUCAUGAACACUGAAUCCUUAUUCGUCCAUGGCUAUUCAGUCCAUAUUCAGGAGAACUGGUGGCUUUGAUUGUUAUCAUUUGAUAAGUAAUCCCCACUUUUCAGUUGCACAGCUGGUCUGUUGAACUCAUUUUAUUUAAUUCUGGAUCAAAUAUUCUGAAUGCAAGAAGUGUUGUUCCUUCCUGCAAACCACCUUUUUCCUUUUUUUUUAGUUUGCAGUAUGUUACUCAUGUGUAUGUUAGGUUGGCCUUUGUUGUUACAAUGCCUAGUGUUUUUGCGUGUUUGGCCAUAGACAAAACUAAACCUUAUCCAGUCAAGCCAGAGAGUAUUCUACCCAUGUGUUUGUGGAAUUUGAGGAUAGAAUCCUAGUGAGAGAAUUAUUUAGCUUCAGCAUGCCAUGCUCUGUAUACAACUCGCAUUUUUCAGUUUUGCACUAUUAUUUUCAGCUUAUGCCCCUAAAUUAAUUAUUCGCUUUUCAGGCACAAUUCAACAAAGUGAGUGGGACCUUUCAUUAUUAUUUUCAGCAACACUAUAUUUUUCUUUCUUGUCCUGUUUCUCAUUACAAAUACUUGUUUGUACUAUCCACAUUAGGCAAAUAUGACAAUGAUAUACAUGUGGAUUUUUUUUUUAUCUUUGCAGGAUUUUAGCAUCUGUUUUUUUUACCAAAAAGAAGAAUAUAUUACCACCUUCUAUGUCAUGAAAAGGAUGGAGAGUUGCAUAAAUUAUGUCAAAAAGUUAUGAAUAGGAAUUUUAAUUGUAUGUUGCUUUACCAUUAUGCCAUCAUUUCUCAUUGAAAUAUGAUUUAGGCAUGAUUAGCGCAAUGAUGUGAUUAGAUUUAUGUGGAUUCUGAAUAGCUAGUGCUACUAAUUGUUGUGCAUGAAUACAAAUUCUAGGAUGAGCACAAGUUUGAUUACUUUACUAGAAACACAUGUUUUUCUUUUUUUGGAGAAAGAAAAUAGGUGGAGGCCAAUUCUUCAUCAGAAAAGGACUAGCAGCUCAGUGCCUGUUCUUGGUUUCAGCUAGUGACUAGUUGAUUGCCAUUAUGAAGCCUAUCCAUUUCAAUUCCUUAUCAUGUCAAGGAAGGGGCCAAAACCUAAUUACCAUAAUCUCAUCUGCCCCCACACCUCUGUGCCCUUGACCCCACCAAUCUCAGAUACUGUCUAUUGCUAGCUAUAAAGCUCUCAGUUCAUAGCCAUCAAUACUUAAAUGAGAUCUCAAAUCCAAAAAGAGCCAACCACAAGCAGGAUCUCAUAUUGAAGCACCAUCAGACCUUUUCCUUUCAUUGGUCUGCAUCUGUUUGAGCUUAGAAAAGAGAGAAGAGUUGCUGGCAAUGGCAAAGAGGGAGAAGAAGCUGCAAUCCUUAUCUUUCACGCACCGGUGCCGGCUGCUAGUAAGUGAGCAAAGGGCAAGGUUCUACAUCCUCCGGCGAUGCAUCAUGAUGUUGAUUUGCUGGAAUGAAAGAGACUAGUUCAUAUUAUACAUAGAAGAGUUAUAGAUUGAUAUAAUUCGCUACUUGAUAUAUGAAGAUGAGCUUUUAGCUCUAGAAAAUUUAUCUAAAGCUAUACAGCUUGUCCAUAUAUAUAAUGAAUAUAAUUAUCAAGGAAUGAGUCUGAUGACUGUAUCUUUCUUUAUAAUUUGUUUUUUCUUCUGAAGUUACCUUCAACCUAUAUGAUCUUUGAUAUAAAGAGCCAAACAUGACUUCUUUCCAUUAUUCUGUAUUCACGUUCAUCUUAUAAUAUAGAAGAGCAUGAUGAAUCAAUUAAGAUGAUGCUCUUUUGAUGUGUG